rnacentral:tRNA from 1 species
AUUUAAGUAGUUUAAUAAAAAUAUUGAUUUGUGGAAUCAAAGAUAUUAGUUAAUCUUAAAUU